rnacentral:lncRNA from 1 species
UGGCAAGGCAUUUGGGGAUACUUUUGUUUCCAAAUUGUUGUGGUUGCUUCUAUGAAUGCCACAAGCUUUGCUGGCUUCUCUUUCCUUCCUACAGUGCUUCUGCAUGAACCAGAUCUGAUCUGUGUUUCAAAUCAGCAAACAUCCCAAGAAAGAAAAUAGCCUGUGAAAGGUAGCUAAUCUUGGCAAAACACUCUGCUCUCUGGAAUUUUUGUUCUUUUAAUUCUUUUUGUUUCCAUAAUUCACUGAUCUCUUUAUAUGGAUUUUUUUUGCAAUUAAUUUGUCGUUUUUAGUUAGUCUAACAGGAUUGUAUUCUCCUGCAACUAACGGCAUUCUAUUUAUAACCACAAGUCCCCUUAGGGUCAACUUUUAAGAAGCCUUGGGCAGCUAUGUUCUUCCAACCUAACAGUCCAUAAGAUCUUCCCCUAUUUUUCCAGAAGCUUCAGAUGAGACUAUCACAAAGAAAAAUAUACAGGGAGUCCACGGAGCCUCCCCUGCAAGCAUCAGUACAGAAGUCGAUGAUAAUCUGGAUGCAAGCCCAGGAGUGUGGAGUCCACUGACUCAGAAGACCUGCAUCUAAGGAAUUGGCUGUUCUUAUCCUUAAGAAUGAUGACUGUGUUUCCAAUUCCAGUAGACCCUUUGAUGCGUUCUGAAUAAAUAUUCCUUUUGGAAUUGAACUUCUAGAGCCCUUAACUUUGGCCCACUCUAGUUUUCUGUCUGUUUUUUUUUUUUUUAAUAUUUUUUUUUUGUAAAGAUAAGGUCUUGCUUUGUUGCCCAGGCUGGUCUUGAAUUCCUGGACUCAAGCAAUCCACCUGCCUUGGCCUCCCAAAGUGCUGGGAUUAUAGGUGUGAACCAUUGUGUCCGAUCGCUCUCUGGUUUUUCUAAUAUCAUGAUCCCAACUCUGUUCUUUAUGUAAAUUUCCCUGAUCACAUGGUUGUAUCUUGGCAUUUCAAAAUCCUUGACAGACUUUGUUUUGUUUGAAUUUUACAAUGAACUUACAUGACUAGGCACGGUCCCCAGUUCAGUUUUAUAGACAAGGAUUCUGUAGGUCAAGAAGUGAAACACAACCAAUAACAGCAGGUGACAGGAUUUAAACCUGGGUCACUUUACUUAUUUUUUUCUACUCUAUCAUUAUGUGAAUCUAUCCUACCUCUGCAAUGACAGAUGGCCCUAGAGCAAGAACACUUCCUUACAUCUGGUAUACAGUCAAAAAGUAAAAAUUCCACACAAAUAAAUAUGGAAAGAAUUUUUACCUGCUCCUAUAGCUUCCUUUCAGGGACCUGGCACCCACAAAUGUUGGGUAACAGAAAGAGGACUUAUGUAACUUAACUCAAAGCAGAAAAGUUACAGAGACUGUCUUAGCAUAAUAGAGCAUGGAGUGGUCAUGCUUGGAUGUGCAAACUGUCUGAUAGUCUUGCACAUGGCUUGACCCCGAAUUACACUAGUGGGGCAAGUUGCCUGGGGCAAAGCAAACUUAUUGGACCCAAAGCUCUCAUUUGAGAAUUUUGUUGACUAAAAGUUAUAAAAUAUCAGCAAUUUCAUAUGGUUCAGCCUAAUAUUUUAUCACUCUUCCUUUUUCUAUUCUAAAACAAUAAUUUUUAAUAACGUAAGCUAUACACAUACAUGCUUUAAACAUACAACACCCUGACUAUCAUAUAGUGGAUAUUUCAAGAAGUAAAUGUUCAGCAUGUCUUCACCCCCACUUGAAGACAUAAUGUAUGUAUUAGGCUGUUCUGGCAUUGCUAUAAAGAAAUACCUGAGACUGUGUAAUUUAUAAGAAAGGAGCUUUAAUUGGCUCACGGUUCUGCAGGCUGUACAGGAAACAUAUUGGGUCUACUUCUGUGGAGGCUUCAGGGAACUUUGACUCAUGGUGGAAGGUGAAAUGAGAGCAGGCACCUCAUGUGACUGAAGCAGGAGCAAGAAAGAGAGAGCGAGCAAGGUGCCACACACUCUUAAACAACCAGAACUCUCUCUUGAGAAUUCACUCACUGUCUUGCCGUCAGCACCAAAGGGAUGGUCCUAAACCAUUCAUGAGAAAUCCUCCUCCAUGAUCCAAUCACCUCUCACCAGGCCCUACCCCCAACACUGGGAUUACAAUUCAAC